CUUUAACAAAGUACGGAUUCCCCUCCGAGUUCCUGCUCAAAAUCUUAGCACUAUAUUCCAUCUCAACUGCUCGAGUAUUGCAAUUGGGUUUCCUCUCGAAUCAUUCCCUAUUACAAAUUGCACAAGACAAAGGUGUCCUCUCUCGCCACGAUAUAUGUUCUGGCCCUGGAACGUCCUUUAUGCACAAUUAGACAACACAUGGAAAUCCACGGAAUAGACCUAAACUGUUGCAAACUUAAAAUAAGCGCAUUCGCGGUUGAUAUUCUCCUAUAUUUCUCCCGACCUGAGGAAUCAUCGCAG